AACGCACCUUGCGCUCCUUGGUAUUCCGAGGAGCAUGCCUGUUUGAGUGUCAUUAAAUUCUCAACCCCUUUUCAGCUUUUUACCAAGCUGGAAUAGGUGUCUUGGAUUGUGGGGGUCUUGCCGGCAGCUUUUGCAGUCAGCUCCCCUGAAAUGCAUUAGCAGAACCGUUUGCGAUCCUGUCACUGGUGUGAUAAUUAUCUACGCCAAUGGAUUGCUCAAUUGUUUGUUCAGCUUCUAACUGUCCUCUCGGUGGGACAAUCACUUGAAAGCUUGACCUCAAAUCAGGUAGGACUACCCGCUGAACUUAA
rnacentral:misc_RNA from 1 species